UGACAGUAAAUGUUGCAACUAUAGAAAGGGGGUGCUUGGCCUAGUUUUUACAAAGCGCUUUUGGACUGAAAAGUGAUUUUUGGCUCAAUAGAGCGUUUGGCAACUCAUUUUUAAAAUCUUAUUCUGCUUUUUAGAAUCAAAAAACUGAUUUUGAAGGCCGCAGAAUCAGAAGUAGAAAAAAGCUGCUUCUUAAAAUCUGAUUCUGAUUUUGGAUUUAAACUUCAAAUUUUUAUUUUAAUUUUAAUAUUUAAAUUUAAAUUUAAUUUUAAAUUUUAAUUUUUAGAUUCAUUUUUGAAUUUUUAAAUUUUAAAUUUUGAAAAAUAGAUUUCAAACUUUAAAUUUUAAAUUUUAAUUUUAAAUUU
rnacentral:lncRNA from 1 species